rnacentral:rRNA from 1 species
AGUGAACGCUGGCGGUAGGCCUAACACAUGCAAGUCGAACGGCAGCACAGUAAGAGCUUGCUCUUACGGGUGGCGAGUGGCGGACGGGUGAGGAAUACAUCGGAAUCUACUUUUUCGUGGGGGAUAACGUAGGGAAACUUACGCUAAUACCGCAUACGACCUACGGGUGAAAGCAGGGGAUCUUCGGACCUUGCGCGAUUGAAUGAGCCGAUGUCGGAUUAGCUAGUUGGCGGGGUAAAGGCCCACCAAGGCGACGAUCCGUAGCUGGUCUGAGAGGAUGAUCAGCCACACUGGAACUGAGACACGGCCCAGACUCCUACGGGAGGCAGAAGUGGGAAAUAUUGGACAAUGGGCGAAAGCCUGAUCCAGCCAUACCGCGUGGGUGAAGAAGGCCUUCGGGUUGUAAAGCCCUUUGUUGGGAAAGAAAAGCAGCAGGUUAAUACCCCGCUGUUCUGACGGUACCCAAAGAAUAAGCACCGGCUAACUUCGUG